rnacentral:rRNA from 1 species
UGAUCCUGGCUCAGAUUGAACGCUGGCGGCAGGCCUAACACAUGCAAGUCGAGCGGAUGAGGGGUGCUUGCAUCCCGAUUCAGCGGCGGACGGGUGAGUAAUGCCUAGGAAUCUGCCCGAUAGUGGGAGACAACGUUUCGAAAGGAACGCUAAUACCGCAUACGUCCUACGGGAGAAAGUGGGGGCUCUUCGGACCUCACGCUAUCGGAUGAGCCUAGGUCGGAUUAGCUAGUUGGUGGGGUAAAGGCUCACCAAGGCGACGAUCCGUAACUGGUCUGAGAGGAUGAUCAGUCACACUGGAACUGAGACACGGUCCAGACUCCUACGGGAGGCAGCAGUGGGGAAUAUUGGACAAUGGGCGAAAGCCUGAUCCAGCCAUGCCGCGUGUGUGAAGAAGGUCUUCGGAUUGUAAAGCACUUUAAGUUGGGAGGAAGGGCUGUAAGCGAAUACCUUGCAGUUUUGACGUUACCGACAGAAUAAGCACCGGCUAACUUCGUGCCAGCAGCCGCGGUAAUACGAAGGGUGCAAGCGUUAAUCGGAAUUACUGGGCGUAAAGCGCGCGUAGGUGGUUUGGUAAGUUGGAUGUGAAAGCCCCGGGGUCAACCUGGGAACUGCAUCCAAAACUGCCUGACUAGAGUACGGUAGAGGGUGGUGGAAUUUCCUGUGUAGCGGUGAAAUGCGUAGAUAUAGGAAGGAACACCAGUGGCGAAGGCGACCACCUGGACUGAUACUGACACUGAGGUGCGAAAGCGUGGGAGCAAACAGGAUUAGAUACCCUGGUAGUCCACGCCGUAAAGAUGUCGACUAGCCGUUGGGCUCCUUGAGAGCUUAGUGGCGCAGCUAACGCAUUAAGUCGACCGCCUGGGGAGUACGGCCGCAAGGUUAAAACUCA